rnacentral:rRNA from 1 species
AUUGAACGCUGGCGGCAGGCCUAACACAUGCAAGUCGAGCGAGCGGCGGACGGGUGAGUAAUGUAUGGGGCCUGCCCGAUAGAGGCGGAUAACUACUGGAAACGGUGGAUAAUACCGCAUACUAUCGGACAACCCAUAUGGGAUUAGCUAGUAGGUGGGGUAAAGGGCCACCUAGGCGACGAUCUCUAGCUGGUCUGAGAGGAUGGCCAGACAAACGGGGACUGAAGAACGGCCCAGACUCCUACGGGGGCAGCGGUGGGAAGUAUUGCACAAUGGGCGCGAGCCUAAUGCAACCGUGCCGCGUGUAUGAAGAGGGCCUGAGAGUUGUAAGGUACUUUCAGCGGGGAGGCGUUACCCGCAGAAGGAGCACCGGCUAACUCCGUGCCAGCAGCCGCGGUAAGUC